rnacentral:lncRNA from 1 species
UCAAGCUUAUAAUUUACAUUAAUAGAAAUCGAGGUACAAAGUCUCAACACACCCAACUAAUUCAAUACGUAUACAAUACAACAUGUUCCAUUCGAGGAAUAGCGCGAGUACAAGACUAAAAAGUCAAAAGUCAAAACAAAAGGCUACGCUAGUCUUUUACAAGUCUCACGCGUCACUCGUACCCCUGAAAGGAAAACAAAUGGAGUGGAAUGAGCUAAAAACCCAGUGAGGUUCCAAAUAGCAAAUUGACCAUUAUUUAGAAGUACAAGUUUUCGGUAUAGCAAAGUAACAAGCAUGAAGAGUUCAUAAAUGUGAGCAAUAACACGUCAAGUAGCAAUCUUAAAAUGAGCGAGUGUAGAAGUUUUUCAAAAGCAACAAUAAUCCAAUAAACAAUAUUCACUCCAAAGUAUAAGGAUACGGAUGACUCUCAGGAGCCAAAUUCCCGUUGCAUUACCAGAAGCUUGAUCACGUAGUAGUUGACACUCCAUCAACUUUCAAGUAAGUAACCAAUCCAAUAGAACACCACUUACACGACUCUCCGUCCACCGUUCAAACCCCCUACUGGGCCCAAAAUCCUCAAUAAACACGGGUGGUAAUACUCGAGUAUACCGAUUAGUCGAGGAGAUAUCACUCCACUCGACAAUACAAGAGACCCAGGGUUCGUUACCCAAUCGACCAAGCCAUUGCCGGCUCGACUAGAGUAACUCGCCACAGGGUUUCUGGAAUUCCAGGAAGUGCGCGCAUCAUAAUCAAGUAUAUCAACUCAAUUGCAACAAUAAACAAAUAUAUCACGUAAGGGCAAGUGCGAUAAAGUACACUCUUGCCCUUACAAUUCACGUAUAUAACAUGUAAUCAGAUUGGUCACGUAUCAAGUUCAAGUAUCAAGUUCAAUUCGGUAUUUGAAAGCACUCACCAAAAGAUAUAGUGCCUUUACUGGUCACUUUCAGGUUAUACUCCGGGUUCGGAGUCCAAAUCUGCGAUAAAACUCAGUUUGAGAACUUUGAAACACGACUUAGAUUCGAAACUUAAACGUUUCGUUCAAUAAAAUUCAAGAAAUUGGAAUUCACUUGGAUGGUAGUGUGAAACACUUGCUCACUUUUUAAACGGUAAAACUUUGUAAUUUUUAUACUUGAAAUCGUCAUGCGAGUGGAAAAUACAAGGAAAACAUAUUUCGAGCAAUCAUGAUUGCAUUUCUCAAGGGUACAAGUUCGGCCAAGUGCUUACUUAUAUACCUCGGAACAAGAAGACUCAAGUACCCUAGAUGGUUCAAGCAGUAAUCACUCUUAACCCUUACUCAAGUUGCAAGUAGUUCUCUAGUCUUCGAGCGUAAAUUUGGGCAGCAUGCCCCUUGUGUUUACCUAAUUUUCCAGCCAUUUAGACUUCAUUAUUUUUCUUCAACAACAACCCAACAUCAUACAUAUCAGCAAUUUAUGUCAAGAGCCGUUCCAUAGGCUCACAAUAUCAUAAUAACAAGAAUUGCAUUAAGGACAAGUGCAGAAAUUCAAUUUAGCACAAGACAGAUUUGACGUACAAAUGCGGAAAUAACAUAUCCGAGGCUACGCUUAUCGGAUUGAGGCGUAACUUAUGCCGUUUCGAAGCUAAGACACAGAGCUACAAUGUUCAUGAAGGUCACUUUGUCCAGUUUCUAAAGUAACUUGGUCAAAUUCUCAAAUUACUAAACCAGAAACCAAUUCGUCGGCUGUUUAAACGCAUUACGCUGUAACGGACAUAACUCAGUGUACAAAAGUCCAAUUCAGGUGUUCUUAGAGGAAUUUUAAAGCUACUUCAGAACACUACAACUUUCAUGUUUUGGCCCAGAGCUAAAUCAGUACGGCUCCUAGUAAAAAAAUGUGAUAAACUGGACUUAACUGAUGAAACGGACUGCUGGGAAAUACUUAGAACAGUAAGGGUAUUUUGGACUUUUCACAUCCUACGUUGCUCCGAUUGAGCUGAAAUUUUGUAGGCACCUAUAAAAUGCCAUUCUCUACAACUUUUAUUCUUUGACCUAAGGCCAAAACAGCCUCUAACAUACAGAUAAAAAUUCAGACAGAAUGUUGAGACAAUUUUCCAGAUUUUGGAAAUUUUGAGUUUCUAGUGAAUCUUUCCUUAAUUUCUUGGUCCAAUCACUACCAAAACACCAUAUAACACCUCAAUUGCAACAUAUAAAUAUCAUACAAUCAUUUGGGCAGAAUUUUCCCCAAACCCUAGUCAUCAAAUAAGAAAGGGGAAAACUUCUAAAACAUGCUAAUCAUCCAUGAUUUCACCAUAAUCUCAAGUUGUUAAGCUUAAUUUAACAAGAUUGAAAGUAAAACUUGGAGAGAUAAGUUCUCUUACCUUGGUUAGAGGUCACUAAGAGUAGCCCAAGCUUCCUUCUUCCAAAAGCUUACCACAAAUCACCACUUAAUCACUCAAGAACAAGUUUAAUCGGUUUACUUUGUUU